GACUUGGCCGGAUUUAUGUUCAUGGCUGAGGAUGCCAUGGGCCGAGUAAGAAGGAGAACCGCCACCCAACCACGCAGCCAAGAGCAACCCAGGGAUCCCUCCUCUGCUUGCUCCCCUCCCCCACCCCUGCUGUACCUUCUGCGCAGCCAUCUCGGUAACGGGCGUCAGGGGCGCUCGGCGGCCUGCUGUCCAAGCUGGGGUCAGGAGCCUGGCGGUAGCAAAGAGCAUCACCGAAAGGAAGCUGGUAGGCUAGCGAGGCCAGCCCCAAAGACCCACAGAUACACGCGCUGCUCCGAACUCGCGGGCCCGCGGCGUCCACUAAUGAGAUGAACCUGGGCGCGCAGCGGCUGGACCUCAGCUGCUAGGGCGCCGCCAAGGCCCUGCUGGACACCUUCUGGUACCUGGGCCUCGUGUAUUACACCUGUGGCUGCCGCCGAGGCGCGGUUCAAUUUGAAGUCUGAGCCCCUACAGGCCCGUGAAUCCUGGAUUACAACUGCAGUUUGUGCAAGAAGCAGCAGCACCUGCACUUCCACUUAGCAACCUCCGGCUUCACGCUCCUCCAGGGCGCAGAGAGCAUCAAAGCAUUAUCACCGACCCAACACACACCGGCGCUGCGUAGUUUCUGCAGCAGGUGUGGGGUGAAGAGUUGCCACACAGCUGUCUGACACCGGGUGUACGGCGUCACCCCUCACUUCCUGGACAAGGCAACAUUUUCCUAAAGGACUCUGCAGAGUACCCACCAGUAAGAAGGCCCUCACCAGAUGUGACCCCUUGAC
rnacentral:lncRNA from 1 species